AGAAAGUGUUGAAGAUGGUCAUGGACAAGACGUUUGGUUACAGACUCACUCUGAAAUAGCUUUUUUAAAAGAGGUAUUGAUGAUCGACUGGAGAAGGAUUUUAUCUUACAUACUCGACCGUUGUAGGUGUACCAUGUUAAUGAAAAAACCAUGAAUGUAGUUAUUAUCCUGUCUUAUGCCAAUCAUAAGUUUAAAGUUCGACAUCUCUCUAUGAAUCACAAGAGCAAGGCUUCCUGUUAACUGACUAUCUUUAUUUUUAACUCAAGCAACGUUGGAGCCAUCCCUGCAGUGAAUACACUCAUCAAGAUUCUAUAUCAUUCCUUCCUUGAUGCCUAUCAUUAUUAGAGACAUUUCUCUUCAUUUAUUUAUGAUGCCUAAUACGUAUUUCUGUCCACUUUGUAUUUGUUUUGUUUCUUCUGAAGAUUAAGGUAUUGUUUCAAGUUCUGUUUUAAUAUAGAAUUAUAUAUAUUAAUGCUUAAGAUAUAAUUAUAUACCUACUUACUAUUUGGAAAAUGUAAUAUGAAAAUGUUUUUUUUUAUAUAUAACAAGACAUUUUGUUUGGAUAGCAGAUACAGAGUAAACAUUAUAAAUGUCUGUAUCAAUCUUUCUUUAUAAAAGAAAAAGCCCGAAAUUAUUUCAAAUUAUGAGCCCAUUCUUGCAUUGUUCCCUAUAAGCUUAUAAUUUAUUUAGUACAGUGAUAUGUUAACAAGAUUUUUCCAAUUCUUUGUCAAAAAAUCAAGAACUGAUAUUUUUAUAAAUAUAUAUUGGUCAUUAUACUAAAAAGAACUAAAAGGAAGUAGAUUUGACUCAAAUUUAAUACGUGACCUAUUUGGUAAUAGGCCUACUCAGAAAGGAAACAUUGGAUUCUUAACUCAAUCCAACUAUGAGUUCUGAGGUCUUUAAGUUAAAAAAAUUAAUCAAAUCAGUGAUAUAUUUUGUAAGCCAAAGUAAUGUAUGAAUAAAAAGUGAUGGAGAAGCUAAAAAAAAACUAUAACUUAUGUAUAAGACUUGAAAUGAGCUAGAAAUAAAUUCGGAUAUUGAAAGUGUUUGAUUUAUAAAUGAAGACUUGAAACUAACCACCAAAGACUUAGGACUCUUUUUGGACUUGGAACUUUCUCCUAACUACAUGAGAAUAAUCUACAAAAAGAUUUAUAUAUGAUAUCUAAACACAAUCAAUCAAGUGGAUUAAAGGUCUGUCAAAGAAAUAUAAAUUUAUGAAAGAUAUGCUUUAAUAUUGGCUUGAUUUGUUUAUCGAAUUUUGAAGAUUUCCUUUGGAAAUAGUGUUAUAUGAAUGCUAUUAUAAAUUGAAUUCCCUCUAAGUAAUCAGGGAGAACGUACUGAUCAAACUAUGUACCAAAUUGUGAAGCAUACUUAUAUUAUCAUGCCUAUGGAUUCAUCACAACUCAUAGGAGACUUAUUAAGAUAUAUUUUGAGAUAGUUUGAACAGUCCAUAAUGAAUUGAAUCAACAUGAAAUUAUUGAUCGGAGAUUGAAGCUGUGAUCAAAGUCAAUAUUCACUUAUUUAAUGAAAUUUAUGAUGCAGAUGGGCAAUAUUCUAUCUCUCCUCCAAAACAUUCUUCAAUAGCACUGUCAUGGUUACCAUCUUGAUUUUCGGUUUCUUAUUUUUUAACAUGGCCAUUCAACACUGGAUUUUCCUCAUUGAGCAUGAAGAUGUAGCUGAUUAUUUGUCAGCCAAUGAAAAUAAAGUAUAUGAAAAGGAAUUAUUAAUAGCCAAUGAAAAUAAAGUAUAUUAAAAGGAA
rnacentral:lncRNA from 1 species